rnacentral:rRNA from 1 species
UACGAAGGGGGCUAGCGUUGCUCGGAAUCACUGGGCGUAAAGCGCACGUAGGCGGCUUUCUAAGUCAGGGGUGAAAUCCUGGAGCUCAACUCCAGAACUGCCUUUGAUACUGGAGAGCUUGAGUCCGGAAGAGGUGAGUGGAACUCGAGUGUAGAGGUGAAAUUCGUAGAUAUUCGGAAGAAACACCAAUGGCGAAGGCAGCUCUCUGGGACGGUACUGACACUGAGACGCGAAAGCGUGGGGAGCGAACAGG